AGAGUUUGAUCCUGGCUCAGAUUGAACGUUGGCGGCAUGCCUUACACAUGCAAGUCGAACGGCAGCACGGGUGCUUGCACCUGGUGGCGAGUGGCGAACGGGUGAGUAAUAUAUCGGAACGUACCUUAUCGUGGGGGAUAACGCAGCGAAAGCUGCGCUAAUACCGCAUACGCCCUGAGGGGGAAAGCGGGGGACCGUAAGGCCUCGCGCGAUUAGAGCGGCCGAUAUCUGAUUAGCUUGUUGGUGGGGUAAAAGCCCACCAAGGCGACGAUCAGUAGCUGGUCUGAGAGGACGAUCAGCCACACUGGGACUGAGACACGGCCCAGACUCCUACGGGAGGCAGCAGUGGGGAAUUUUGGACAAUGGGGGCAACCCUGAUCCAGCAAUGCCGCGUGAGUGAAGAAGGCCUUCGGGUUGUAAAGCUCUUUUGUCAGGGAAGAAACAGCAGCUCUAACACAGUCUGCGAAUGACGGUACCUGAAGAAUAAGCACCGGCUAACUACGUGCCAGCAGCCGCGGUAAUACGUAGGGUGCAAGCGUUAAUCGGAAUUACUGGGCGUAAAGCGUGCGCAGGCGGUUAUACAAGACAGGCGUGAAAUCCCCGGG
rnacentral:rRNA from 1 species